rnacentral:rRNA from 1 species
UACGUAGGGUGCGAGCGUUAAUCGGAAUUACUGGGCGUAAAGCGUGCGCAGGCGGUUCGUUAAGUCAGAUGUGAAAGCCCCGAGCUCAACUUGGGAACUGCAUUUGAAACUGGCGGGCUGGAGUGUGGCAGAGGGGGGUGGAAUUCCACGUGUAGCAGUGAAAUGCGUAGAGAUGUGGAGGAACACCGAUGGCGAAGGCAGCCCCCUGGACCGACACUGACGCUGAGGCGCGAAAGCGUGGGGAGCAAACAGG